AGCACGCCGCGUGAACGACGAAGUACUUGUGUAUGUAAAGUUCUUUUAUCAAGGAAGAAAAGCAAGUGGCGAACCAUUUGUUUGCCGGUACUUGAUGAAUAAGCCCCGGCUAAUUAUGUGCCAGCAGCCGCGGUAAGACAUAAGGGGCAAGUGUUAUCCGGAAUUAUUGGGCGUAAAGGGUGCGUAGGCGGUCUAGUAAGUCAGUGGUGUAAUGGCWACGCUCAACGUUGUCCGGCUAUUGAAACUGCUAAACUUGAGUUAGAUAGAGGCGAGUGGAAUUCCAUGUGUAGCGGUAAAAUGCGUAAAUAUAUGGAGGAACACCAGAGGCGUAGGCGGCUCGCUGGGUCUUAACUGACGCUGAGGCACGAAAGCGUGGGGAGCAAACAGGAUUAGAUACCCUGGUAGUCCACGCCGUAAACGAUGAGUACUAAGUGUCGGGUUAAACCGGUACUGAAGUUAACACAUUAAGUACUCCGCCUGAGUAGUACGUACGCAAGUAUGAAACUUAAAGGAAUUGACGGGACUCCGCACAAGCGGUGGAUCAUGUUGUUUAAUUCGAAGAUACCCGAAAAACCUUACCAGGUCUUGACAUGUUUUUGCGAAACGGUAGUAAUAUCGUAGAGGUUAUCAGAAACACAGGUGGUGCAUGGUUGUCGUCAGCUCGUGUCGUGAGAUGUUAGGUUAAGUCCUAAAACGAGCGAAACCCUUAUCGUUAGUUGCCAGCACGUUAUGGUGGGGACUUUAACGAGACUGCCAGUGAUAAACUGGAGGAAGGUGAGGAUCACGUCAAAUCAGCAUGCCCCUUAUGACCUGGGCUA
rnacentral:rRNA from 1 species